UUGAGGUGUGGCACCCAAAGUGUGAUUUACUUCAGUAUUUGAUCUCGAUCGCUCACAAGUGCAUGAAGUGGGAAAUGAUGCAUGAACCGAGCAGAGAUGACACACCAGAGCCAUGAGGGCUGCUUUCAGUAAUGACAGCAAAAACCAACACAAAUACGCGUCUCCUCAUACGCUGUUUUAACACGCUCCACUGACUGAGCUGACUCUUGCUGUUUGACUGAAGGUAGAGAAGAAAAAGGCUUUUGUUCCAGGGUGCUUCAGCCGUUUUUAAUACAAACCGACUGAAAGAAGUGGAAGACUACAAAACUUCUUUCAUUGUUUUGAGUCCAGAAACAAUGGAGGGUUAAAGUGAAACUACAGACUGAAGCUCAAGCUAGGAUCAACAGAAACUGUUAGAAAUAAAGAGGAGGAGGACUGUUCCAAGAAAUAUGCAAGAGCCAAGAACAAGAAGAAGCCAGAGGGCAAAGAAAUGUAGUUGCUGCCUUCAGCUGUAGGUACAGGUGACAUUUAUCCUUGUUAAAGAUUUUUUUCCGCAGCUAGUAUACAUGGUAGAAAAGCAUCUUGCAGCACGGGUCUUGCAAAAGGAAUUCAGAGCGUGCAGUUUAGGCGCUUUGAGUAAACUUUCUGACACAUUCCCGAGUGGAUUUAUGAUGAUGAAUGAAGCGCAGGAGGCAGACGUCGCUGCAUCAGCAAACAGGCCGGUCAAAGGAGUUUGGGUUGAGAAGUGGAUCAGGCCAAACAAGAAGUGUCUGAAAACACCAAUAAAAUAGUUCCCUGCUCAGGAGAGAGGUAUAAGGCAGAUUCUCAGGUUAUAUAAUUUUACUGACCUUUAACUACUCCUGGAAGCACAGAAUAAUUUCUCAAGUAAUAAGGAACAAUGGCUCUGAAGGAGACAGUUGUAAAAUGGAGUGAUCAUAAACUGUGUUCAUAAAAAUCAUAAAAGAGAGGGCGAUCACUUGAGCCCCACAAAGAAAGAGGCCAGGUUAUCUGCCUGUAUAGUGCUGUGCUGACCCUGCAGUCAGUCCAUCACUUUCAUUUCAAACCUCUUUUUUUUUUUUUCUUUCAAUCUGGAGGGUGCUAAAUGUGAGCCUGUAAAAGUGUUUCACUGUGCCUUUGUUACAAGCAUAUUACAGAGAAACGAGGCCCUUUAGUCUCCACCUCACUGCCCCUGCUUCAUUAAAAUUAUAAAUCUAGACACUGUUUCUGGGAUCCAAACUAAAACUGGCCUGUUGUCUGAAAGAAUUGUGUUUUUUUUUCCAUACAAAUCUGCAACAGUUUCCCAUUGCCUACAAACAGAUCCAAACAAUACUUGCCAAAGUGUUGCAUUGAAAUCCCAGUCUGCUCUCUUUUGCGUCAAUAAAUCCCCUCUUGUGCCGUCUUGUCUAUUCCUACGGGAAAUUAGGCUGAACAGCAACGAAAUGCUCCUCCUAAUUACUUUGUGGCUGAUAGGAAUGCAAAGAACUGAUUGAUAAGAGCCAUUCCUCCUUUAAUAUUACGAAUGAAUGAUGCAAAAACUGUUUCAAAGCCUUAUCUUGAUAAUGGGAUUAAAAAAGUUAUGUUUUAGACUGACCUGGAGAGGCGAAAAUACAUCAAUUUCAGGGUUUGUCACCUUUGGCUGCAUAGCAGGCUUCAAAAUGACAGCUGUCUGAUGGGAAGUUAUAGUGAAAAACAUGAUUUCUGAAAACAACCAAUAAUCACACCGGCAAUAUCACUCACUGAGCAGGACAAGAGGAGGUUAAAAAGAAGGGAAAAUGGAAGGAGCAGAAGAUCAGGGAAUUCUGGACAUUGCUGUUCUACUGAUAGCUUUGUGAUUGGGGUGUUGCUGCUGAUGAAAGUGUUUCUCAGCCACAGUGGGGUUACCCUCCUCUGUGAUGAUGGCAUUGUGAUUGUGUGGCAUUGCAGCAGAAGCAGACUGUGUGGCCUUGCCACCGGCUGUGACCGCUCAUCCCUGAAUCUCUGGGGAACAAGAAAGGUGUUUGCUAACCCUCACUCUGUUCCUUCCCAAACCCAUGCAAGCUGCUCCCCGAUAAAGAGUUCAGCUCCUGGAUGUGACGUCAGCUGAAAAUAUUAACCAAUAAAAUGUUCCUCAAAUAUUAUGCAACACUCCUUUCAAACAUGUUUUAAUUCUUCUUUUUUUUUUUUUUUUUUUUUGGUGGAGCGAAAGGGUUUUUGUGCCAUUGAACAUGGCUUGUCCAGGCAGGUUUCACCCAUCAACCCCUCAAUUAAGAACACCUGGAGGAGCAAGAGAGCGGCACUCUGCCACAAGAACGACCGCAAUCAACCCAUUACGCACUCAAACCAUUACGCACACCAACAAGCAAACGCACCUUCACUUGCAGACAGAAGCACCUAAGACUUUAAUAGAAGCCUGUAUGAUGAGGAUGCUAUUAAGAACGUCAAUUAUGACAAAAGCAGGAAAAGAAACCAUCACUUUUGGCUUUCUAUAAGCUGCAUAAUCGCCAAGCGCACCCAAAAAAAGCUGCAGACAGGUGUGGUUGUGCCAUGCUGGAUGUCACGAAAGAUGUGUCCUGUCUAGUCCCUGGAUUGGAGACUCUGUCUAGAACUAGCAGUGUGCCAGCAGUCAUCCUCUGUCCCCGACACCUUUACAACUUAUCUGGUCCUUUUUGCCCCCUCAGCUGUACUGUGUCUCACUCUUCCCAUCCCAGAUGGAUGGAGUGAACCCUCAGUGGAGAAAUUAACUUUGAGGUAAACCCUUUCAUGAAGAUGGCAGAGCAGAAACCGCUGUGGAAAACACCUGAUUCACAAUAAAUAAAAAAGCUGAAAUAUA